rnacentral:rRNA from 1 species
UACGAAGGGGGCUAGCGUUGCUCGGAAUCACUGGGCGUAAAGGGCACGUAGAUGGUUCUAGGAACCCCAAGCCGAAAAACCUGCAGGAGGCUCGGAUUAGGUUGGGCAGAUUCUUGAACUUGAGUUCGGAAGAGGAAGUCAGUACUCUCAAUGUAGGGGUGAAAUCCUAAGAAAUUGACGGGGACUACCAACAGGCAAAGGCAGACUUCCAGUACGUAACUGACAUUGAGGUGCUAAAGCGUGGGGAGCGAACGGG